rnacentral:rRNA from 1 species
GACGUAGGGGGCCAGCGUUGCUCGGAAUUACUGGGCGUAAAGGGUCCGUAGGCGGUGCGGUAAGUCGGGAGUGAAAUCUCUGGGCUUAACUCAGAGGCUGCUUCCGAAACUACCGUGCUAGAGUGCGAGAGAGGCAAGUGGAAUUGCGGGUGUAGCGGUGAAAUGCGUAGAUAUCCGCAGGAACAUCCGAGGCGAAAGCGGCUUGCUGGAUCGACAACUGACGCUGGAGGGACGAAAGCUAGGGGAGCAAACAGG